rnacentral:ncRNA from 1 species
GAAAAGUUUGAUUCUUGCUUAUAAAAGGCUAUUUUCUGAUAAUUAUACAUGUAAGUAUUUGCGUAAAUUUAAUUUUCUUGAUGGAUGCAUGAAUUGCAGUGUUUAAUUUUAGAUGAUUGAAUAUUUUCAGAUUUAGUUAAUCAGAAUAAUUUUGACAAAAGUUGUGCCAGCAGUCGCGGUUAUACAAUUGAAGUGAAUGGCCUAUUUUAGGUUUAUAUUUAUAUAUUUUUAUAAUCAACAUAUUUUUAAUAUUUAGGUGAAAUUUGUAUUAUUUAUAAUUGAUUGGAAUAGAUUAAAUAUGAAAGUUUUUUUUGUAAAACUAGGAUUAGAUACCCUAUUAUUAUGAACAGUUAAGAAAUAACCUUAUUAUUAAUAGAUAUGUUCUUAAAAGUAAAAGAAUUUGGCGGUAAUUUAGUCUUUUUAGAGGAACCUGUCCUAUAAUUGAUAAUCCACGAUAAAUUUCACUUUACUUCAGUUUAUAUAUCUCUGUCAUUGAAUGUUUUAUUAGGAUAUUUUCGAUAAUCUUUAUUGGGUAUAAUGUCAGGUCAAGGUGUAGCGUAUAGUAAAGUAGAGAUGGGUUACAAUAAAAAUAUUUUUGGAUCUAAAUAUGGAAAUAUUAGUAAAAUUGGAUUUAAAAGUAAUUUUCAUUAAAAUAUGAUAUUGAAAUGAGCUCUAAAUUAUGUACAUAUCGCCCGUCACUCUCAUUUAUAAAUGAGAUAAGUCGUAACAAAGUAAGUUUACCGGAAGGUGAACUUAGAUGAAC